rnacentral:rRNA from 1 species
GAGGAAAAGAAACCAACAGGGAUUGCCCUAGUAACGGCGAGUGAAGCGGCAAGAGCUCAAAUUUGAAAUCUGGCUCUUUUAGAGUCCGAGUUGUAAUUUGUAGAGGGCGCUUUGGUGUUGGCCACGGCCUAAGUUCCUUGGAACAGGACGUCACAGAGGGUGAGAACCCCGUACGUGGCUGCUGGCCUUCACCGUGUAAAGCCCCUUCGACGAGUCGAGUUGUUUGGGAAUGCAGCUCUAAAUGGGAGGUAAAUUUCUUCUAAAGCUAAAUACUGGCCAGAGACCGAUAGCGCACAAGUAGAGUGAUCGAAAGAUGAAAAGCACUUUGGAAAGAGAGUCAAAAAGCACGUGAAAUUGUUGAAAGGGAAGCGCUUGCAGCCAGACUUGCCUGUAGUUGCUCAUCCGAGCUCUUGCUCGGUGUACUCUUCUGCGGGCAGGCCAGCAUCAGUCCAGGCGGUCGGAUAAAGGCCUUGGAAAUGUAGCUCUCUUCGGGGAGUGUUAUAGUCCAGGGUGCCAUGCGACCAGCUUGGACUGAGGUCCGCGCAUCUGCUAGGAUGCUGGCGUAAUGGCUGUAAGCGGCCCGUCUUGAAACACGGACCAAGGAGUCUAACAUCUAUGCGAGUGUUUGGGUGUCAAGCCCGGGCGCGCAAUGAAAGUGAACGGAGGUGGGAACCCUUCGGGGCGCACCAUCGACCGAUCCUGAUGUCUUCGGAUGGAUUUGAGUAAGAGCAUAGCUGUUGGGACCCGAAAGAUGGUGAACUAUGCCUGAAUAGGGUGAAGCCAGAGGAAACUCUGGUGGAGGCUCGCAGCGGUUCUGACGUGCAAAUCGAUCGUCAAAUUUGGGCAUAGGGGCGAAAGACUAAUCGAACUAUCUAGUAGCUGGUUCCUGCCGAAGUUUCCCUCAGGAUAGCAGUAACGUUUUCAGUUUUAUGAGGUAAAGCGAAUGAUUAGAGGCAUGGGGGUUGAAACAACCUUCACCUAUUCUCAAACUUUAAAUAUGUAAGAAGUCCUUGUUACUUAAUUGAACGUGGACAUUUGAAUGUACCGUUACUAGUGGGCCAUUUUUGGUAAGCAGAACUGGCGAUGCGGGAUGAACCGAACGCGGGGUUAAGGUGCCAGAAUGUACGCUCAUCAGACACCACAAAAGGUGUUAGUUCAUCUAGACAGCAGGACGGUGGCCAUGGAAGUCGGAAUCCGCUAAGGAGUGUGUAACAACUCACCUGCCGAAUGAACUAGCCCUGAAAAUGGAUGGCGCUCAAGCGUGCUACCCAUACCCCGCCGCCGGGGCAGAAUUUAUGCCCCGGCGAGUAGGCAGGCGUGGAGGCUUGUGACGAAG